AGUUAGUUAGAUAACCUUUCUGGUGAAAGCUUUGUUGACCCCGGAAGUGAUUGACGGACGGCUCUUUCGCGGGUUCAUAUUUGCGCAGAAACUGCGCAGGCCACGUUCAACUUUGUUCUUAGCGAGAAUAGAUUCCGACCAUACGAUUCCGUACAGCUGCACUGUGGUCGGACAGGCUUCCUGUUUAGAUUAAGAUAUUAACGAGCAAGCGCAAAAUAUGGUUUGGAAAUUGUACCUCAAUCCAGGGAUGAGAAAUUGUGUUGUCCCCUUAUCCCAACUGGUCUUUCCACAUAAUUCAAAGGAAAAGGAAGGAGUGAACUCAAGUCUACAAGAUUAAUAACACAUCUGGGAAAAAGCAAUGUAACAGAACCAAGAGGACUAAACUGUCCUACAUUAAUUGGGUUACUUUCAACUCCACCCAAAUAAAUAAAGAACCAACAUACCUUGAAAGGAAGGAAAUGGGUGACCGACCUUUCCAAACGUUCCUGGCUGGAGAAGAAAAAGCACAUAAAAUAACAUCAAACAUAUUCCACCCAACCGACCAGGUGUAGCAAGACAUAGAGGAGUCCUGUGGUGAUACUAACAAGAUUAUCUAAUGUAAGAAGAGUUAGUAAUCGUUCCCAACAUGUGACAGUUCGUAACUAGACAAGGGCAAUUAGAUUGUCGGUUUAUGCUGACUGUGGUUUCUUCAUCUUUCUAAUCUAUAAAGUGGUGGUUAAGAUUAUUCUCAGACUGAGAGAAAAGUAUGUUUGGUGAAGGAUGAGACGGUUGCCAGAAGGGAUGAAGACAACAAUCUAGUCUCUUCUCUGAAGUUCUUACCUUGUCCACACUGCACCAUCUCCUUCACUGACUGUUACUUCCUGGACAACCACAUCAAGACCAAACACCAGAAGCAGUACCUGGCCAUGUUGAAAAGCCAUGUCUCAAAGAGUAAAACAGUACACGCCCUCACAAACAGAUGUUCCCACUGUAGCUGUAUAUUCCACACCCCAUGACAGCUAGACAUCCACACAUGCCAGGCCCACCCCUCUGCCCUUCCUCAGAAACCUGCCCGUCCCCCCAGCGUUCCGGGGAAAGUCCACCUAUGCCUGCAGAUUUUCCAAUCUGGGCACCCUGCUGAAGCACUGCAAGAAUUUGCACA
rnacentral:lncRNA from 1 species